GUCUAUGGCCAUGCUACCAUGAAUAAGCCCGAUCCCAUCUGAUCUCGGAAGCUAAGCAGGGUCGGGUCUGGUUAGUACUUGGAUGGGAGACCACCUAGGACCAGGUGCUGUAGGCA
rnacentral:rRNA from 1 species